GUAGCACAGGGAGCUUGCUCCUGGGUGACGAGCGGCGGACGGGUGAGUAAUGUCUGGGAAACUGCCUGAUGGAGGGGGAUAACUACUGGAAACGGUAGCUAAUACCGCAUAACGUCUACGGACCAAAGUGGGGGACCUUCGGGCCUCAUGCCAUCAGAUGUGCCCAGAUGGGAUUAGCUAGUAGGUGGGGUAAUGGCUCACCUAGGCGACGAUCCCUAGCUGGUCUGAGAGGAUGACCAGCCACACUGGAACUGAGACACGGUCCAGACUCCUACGGGAGGCAGCAGUGGGGAAUAUUGCACAAUGGGCGCAAGCCUGAUGCAGCCAUGCCGCGUGUGUGAAGAAGGCCUUCGGGUUGUAAAGCACUUUCAGCGAGGAGGAAGGGUAGUGUGUUAAUAGCACAUUGCAUUGACGUUACUCGCAGAAGAAGCACCGGCUAACUCCGUGCCAGCAGCCGCGGUAAUACGGAGGGUGCAAGCGUUAAUCGGAAUUACUGGGCGUAAAGCGCACGCAGGCGGUUUGUUAAGUCAGAUGUGAAAUCCCCGCGCUUAACGUGGGAACUGCAUUUGAAACUGGCAAG
rnacentral:rRNA from 1 species